CAAAACAAUUAUUCUACAAAUCUCAGAACAGUAGCAACUCUUCAGAAGCUUGUAACAGCAACUGACCGAUUGAGGAUCUCAAUAGGGGGCGCUGCCAGACAUGGCAUUUCCGAACGCCCCAACUGGCAGUUUCCAGCGUACGUUGCCUGGCAAUUUUAUCAGGCACGCAUGGCUGUUCUUUACUUAUAAGGCAACUUCUUUUCCCUCAAAAAAUGCCAGCCGUCAGACCUGAAUCCGAAGGCUGUGGGGGUGUUCGCUUGGAAAACGCUCCCAGCAAACGUUCGCCAGAUAAGCUUUCCGAUUCAAGUUCCCCUAGUAGAAAAAUGAAACCAAGAUAUGAAACCAAAUUUCCCUGAAAAAAUAGAAAUCCUACUAACCACAAAUUAUUAAAAAUGAAAUCCUUUCUUCAGAAAUUCAGGCCUUGUGGACAAGGGGAAUUGAGUGGUCUACCAUGUUCCGCUAACCGUAGUCGCGUACCGAGUUAAGAGUUACUCCUCCAACAAUAAUUUUCACGAUUUCUGUGGACCAAUGGGUCCAAUCCUUGUGCCCCCACCUUCACGGAAACACCAAUCAUAGCUUAGAAAAGGACUCGAUGCCAAAAGAUGAAGCAUUUCACAGUCAGAUGCAUCCUCCGUGUUGCUGGUAGAUUAUUAGCCUACUGUUCCCGUCCUCAUUACAGAGUUUGGCCGGUGACCAGCUGUGGCAUGCCAAGUCAAGUCAAGUCAACUGAAACUCUUGAAUGCCAUGAGAUGCCUAAGUGAGAAAAAUCAUAAUAGGCAAGUAGGAGAUGAUAGCCAUAAUUGGUGAAACUUUUAUCAGGAUUUAGAGUUCAGAGUUUCAAACUGACGGAAGACGCCUUCUGUAUUAAGGGACAAAUAAAUUUUAGUGUUUUCUCAGUUCAUAAAUAAUUCUGUAAGCAGAUUGGCACUUCUUAUUUAAAAUAUAUCUUAACGGUAAUUUCGUAAAGACGAAACAAUCAUUCUAGAAAGCUCGGAACAGUUGCAGUAGAGGAAAAAGCAUUCAGAAAUAAUACCUUUUUUCUGCUUUGUCUUGCUUCAAGUUUAACUGUCAGC
rnacentral:lncRNA from 1 species